GCUCAGGAUGAACGCUAGCUACAGGCUUAACACAUGCAAGUCGAGGGGCAGCAUUUUAGUUUGCUUGCAAACUAAAGAUGGCGACCGGCGCACGGGUGAGUAACACGUAUCCAACCUGCCGAUAACUCGGGGAUAGCCUUUCGAAAGAAAGAUUAAUAUCCGAUAGUAUAUUAAAACCGCAUGGUUUUACUAUUAAAGAAUUUCGGUUAUCGAUGGGGAUGCGUUCCAUUAGUUUGUUGGCGGGGUAACGGCCCACCAAGACUACGAUGGAUAGGGGUUCUGAGAGGAAGGUCCCCCACAUUGGAACUGAGACACGGUCCAAACUCCUACGGGAGGCAGCAGUGAGGAAUAUUGGUCAAUGGACGAGAGUCUGAACCAGCCAA
rnacentral:rRNA from 1 species